AUUUGAAGUAUCUUCUUGACCCCUUUGCUUGUUGAUUAGUGAUGGGCAUGUUGUAUCCUUAUUGAGCUUAUGAUUAUAUUGUUGGACCUAAGGACAUGUACGAGGACCUGUUGGAUCCCAGAUUGCAGUUGAGUUAUUGUCGUUGAUUUGGAGUCAUGCGGAGCAACUUAGGAUUUCAGAGAUUAGGGUGAGCUCCUAGCGUCUGGAGCUACCAAUUUUUGUCUGUUUUGGCUAGGUUUAGUCUUUAUAUUGUAUUCAAAGACAACCUGUACUUCUCUGAUAAUUGUGAAAGACUUGUACUCCUAUUUUGGAUUAGAUGCUCAACUACUAACUAAUGUCAGGUCUUGGGAUGGUUCCUGCAUUAUUUUUGUUGGUUAUCCUUUCUCUGCUUGGUUCUAAGCUCUUACUUCUUAUUGUUGGCAUCCGCUUGGUAGUCCGUCGCUCAUGGCUCCGAGCUACGGGUUAGGCUUACCUUCUGGUGGGGUGUAGUAGGUGCCAUCAUGACUUGAGAAAUUGGGUUGUGACAUCUCUCUUAUCAUCUAAAUGUACAACAUUGGUGAAAUUGUAGUGCAAAUCGUCAUCGACCUAUUCAUUUU